GAUGAACGCUGGCGGCGUGCCUAAUACAUGCAAGUCGAGCGAACAGACGAGGAGCUUGCUCCUCUGACGUUAGCGGCGGACGGGUGAGUAACACGUGGAUAACCUACCUAUAAGACUGGGAUAACUUCGGGAAACCGGAGCUAAUACCGGAUAAUAUAUUGAACCGCAUGGUUCAAUAGUGAAAGACGGUUUUGCUGUCACUUAUAGAUGGAUCCGCGCCGCAUUAGCUAGUUGGUAAGGUAACGGCUUACCAAGGCAACGAUGCGUAGCCGACCUGAGAGGGUGAUCGGCCACACUGGAACUGAGACACGGUCCAGACUCCUACGGGAGGCAGCAGUAGGGAAUCUUCGGCAAUGGGCGAAAGCCUGACCGAGCAACGCCGCGUGAGUGAGGAAGGCCUUCGGGUUGUAAAACUCUGUUGUGUGGGAAGAAGGGAAAGGGUAGGACCCUUAGGUGACGGUACCAAACGAGAAAGCCCCGGCUAACUACGUG
rnacentral:rRNA from 1 species